AAGUCGUAACAAGGUCUCCGUAGGUGAACCUGCGGAGGGAUCAUUACCGAGGAUGGCGGCUCUUUAAGCCACCGCCUCACCACACUUUGCUUAAACCCCCCCCUUUUCGGGCAUCCGUACUUCGGCCGACGGCCGGCUGGGCAGGGAGCGCGCUCCUGUCCCAGCUGGCCCAAGGCCCAUGUCGGCGGGGCCCCAAAGCCAUAAAAACCUAAGUAUCAGUGUGUCUAGGUGGCGAAAGCCGAACCAAACA
rnacentral:misc_RNA from 1 species